UACGUAGGGCGCAAGCGUUGUCCGGAAUUAUUGGGCGUAAAGAGCUCGUAGGCGGUCUGUCGCGUCGGAUGUGAAAGCCCGGGGCUUAACCCCGGGUCUGCAUUCGAUACGGGCAGACUAGAGUGUGGUAGGGGAGAUCGGAAUUCCUGGUGUAGCGGUGAAAUGCGCAGAUAUCAGGAGGAACACCGGUGGCGAAGGCGGAUCUCUGGGCCGAUUACUGACGCUGAGGAGCGAAAGCGUGGGGAGCGAACAGG
rnacentral:rRNA from 1 species